rnacentral:rRNA from 1 species
UAGGGAAUCUUCGGCAAUGGGGGGAACCUUGACCGAGCAACGCCGCGUGAGUGAAGAAGGUUUUCGGAUCGUAAAGCUCUGUUGUUAAGGAAGAACGAGUGUGAGAAUGGAAAGUUCAUACUGUGACGGUACUUAACCAGAAAGGGACGGCUAACUACGUGCCAGCAGCCGCGGUAAUACGUAGGUCCCGAGCGUUGUCCGGAUUUAUUGGGCGUAAAGCGAGCGCAGGCGGUUAGAUAAGUCUGAAGUUAAAGGCAGUGGCUCAACCAUUGUAGGCUUUGGAAACUGUUUAACUUGAGUGCAGAAGGGGAGAGUGGAAUUCCAUGUGUAGCGGUGAAAUGCGUAGAUAUAUGGAGGAACACCGGUGGCGAAAGCGGCUCUCUGGUCUGUAACUGACGCUGAGGCUCGAAAGCGUGGGGAGCGAACAGG